UGUUCAUUAACCCAUGCCAUACUAUUGGCUCCAGUUCGGGUUGUUUAAAUGUGUAUGUGCUUGCGUCUACUGGGGUUAAUACUGAUAUAGGCCCCAGGGUAUUCCUUCGCAUUGACAGACAAAAUGUCUUAAAAUUGCUAGUUUGUACAGGGACGGGUGAGUAAUGUAACAAGCAUGUGCACUCCCAAGAUCGUUCAGUAAAUCUGGCAUUUACAAACCUUGUAAUUUUUUCUUCAGGUAGGUGUGUUUAAAGAAGCACUCUAAGCACCAAAACUAUUACAGCCCACUGCAGAGGCCAGACUGCGAGGACCCCGAUAAGUUGGUUUUGGUGCCUAGAUGCUGCCCCUGCUGUUUAACAGCCACUCGAUGCACACUGACUGACAAAUGUAACAUUGCAAUUUCUCACAUUCAGACAGCCACUGGAGGGUCUCCUAAAGAAAACAAAAUGUAGAGUCUUCACGUUUGGCUUGAAGACGUGAUAUAAAGCUUCUCUGAGAAUCUUAUGAUGCACUGUGCCAAUUGCCAAGCUUGUACAGUAGGGCUCUCAAUGCUUCAUCCAUCCUGAUAAUCUCAGCCACAGUGAGACCAGGAUAUUGCUUGAUGAAAUGUGAGGUGGUCAGAAUCUGAAAAAAAGCACCAGGAGCACUUGUUAUAAAGGGAUUUAUGUACUUCUGUUUUCUUUAAUGCCGAUCUGUCAUUUUCAGGGAGUUUUGCAAAGACCCCCAAAAGUACCCUCUCUCACUCUCUGGUGAUGGUCUGGGAGCUGGAGGGUGAAUGGGAAGGUAUUAUGGAUUUAUAAUAAAGCGCAUUUCAUCGU